CUGAGUGCUGGAAUUGGGCUGGAGAAAAUCACAAGGAACUCUGGUGAUGCCAAAGGAACUGUGGAAAAUUGCCAUGACAUUUUCUCAGUUUUUCACUGACCAUAGAUAUAAAAAGUGUUCUUAUAAUCAUGAAGUGAUCCUCAUGCACGUUGCUCUUUAAUGCUUUCUGGAUGGAAAGCUUAGGAAGUGUUGAAGCUAACAGUAAUCUUGUUGCCAAUGGUUUUUGGCUGCAAGCACCAGCUCAGGUUCUCUAAAUAGACACAGCCAAUUAGUGGUGUUUCCCAUCCUGCCUAUGGAUGUAAGUGAUUUCCAACAGAGAACAACUCAGAGAGGUUUCUGCAGGAUGAACCAAUUACCAACAUCCCAUCGGCAAGGCUGGUAGCACUGCUCGAGCUGUGCGAAGCUGGAAGCCGUUCUCACCCGCUACUGCACUCCUCUGUUUUACAGGCAUGACAUAAUGUCAGUCAGACUUUGUAGCCCUUGGCCAGUUGCAUGUGGCUGCCGCUCUCCUCUGCGUGCCAAAUGCUUUGUUGUGCUGCUGCAUCAGGAUGAAGAAGCAUGUGUGGCAGAUGUGUCUUACCCUGUAUCUUGAAGUGAAGAUGGAACCUUAAAUAUAAAAAGAUCCUUUGGCCUUCCUGCUUCAGCUACAAGAAGUGUCAGGCUUUCAGGCUCUCACCUUGGUGGGGAAAUUCAGCCACUCAUAUAUCUGCUGGGAAAACAACAUGGCAUGCUGCAAAGAAUCCAGGAGACUUCUGGAGUCCGUUGGUGAUAGCUUUCUCUUCAGGAAACAAAGAAGAGAGAGUUUACUUCAAUACAGCUUAAAAGCAGUUCAUGCUCAGCUUAUCUGAUUUGAUGAACAGUGAUUUAAAGCCAGACUUGCACUGUUUGAGGUUAACAGAUUUUUUUUAAUCGGUGUGUCCUCAAAGUUGAAAGAGUUGAAAUCUUUAGCCCCACCUUAUGCUUAAAAGAAAACUUAUCGUCCAGCUUGACAGACUUAAUCACCAAGAGAGACUGAUAAGUAAAGGCUUGGAAUAUAAACAUGGAAAAGACUACACAGUUCUACAGAAAUUCCUGAAAUAAGAAAGUGGUCAAGCACUGGAGCAAGUUUCACAGCAAGUCUGUGGGAUGUCAAUCUUUGGAGAUACUCAAAACCUUGACUGAGCGUGUUCCUGAACAACCUUGCUGUAGCUGACCCUGUUUGCGCAGGACAAUGGAGUAGGCCAUUUUCCAGCCCCAACCACACUGUGCUUCAAUAGGUUCAAGAAAAGAAAUUCAAGAUCCAAGGACUGCUUGUGAAGAAUUCUGACAGACAUGAUAUUUGUUACUGAGAGCAAUUCAAAAAAGGAAGCUUCUGUGUUUUGAUGACAAAGAAAUACGAACAGAAAACACUUUGACAGAAAAACAAAAAGAGAAACAACAAAAAACCAACAACUACUGGAAGUAACAUUUUAUGUGACAACAGAUCUGACUGAAAUAGAAGAAACAAAAUAAAAGAAAUUGAAUUUAUUAAGUGAUUAUACUCUACUUGAAAGAUCUUGAAGAAAUGUAGUAAAAAAGUACAAUAAAGCUUGAAAUUGAAGCCUAUAAUCAUAUUUUCACAAGUAUCUGUGUUGAAAAAAUAUAAAGUUUAUAGUAUCUAUAUUUAUUUAUUUGUUUAUUUAUUUUUGCUUUGGAAUGAAAACAGAAUUAAAAAUGUUUCCACUGUCCAAUGUCUAUUAUCUUUAUUUCAGCUAUGAAUUAAAAAUAUUUUAAAACAACAUAGAAUUAAUCUGGAU
ensembl:lncRNA